rnacentral:rRNA from 1 species
AGAGUUUGAUCCUGGCUCAGGACGAACGCUGGCGGCGUGCUUAACACAUGCAAGUCGAACGGAAAGGCCCUUCGGGGUACUCGAGUGGCGAACGGGUGAGUAACACGUGGGUGAUCUGCCCUGCACUUUGGGAUAAGCCUGGGAAACUGGGUCUAAUACCGAAUAUGACCAUGCGCCUCCUGGUGUGUGGUGGAAAGCUUUUGCGGUGUGGGAUGGGCCCGCGGCCUAUCAGCUUGUUGGUGGGGUAAUGGCCUACCAAGGCGACGACGGGUAGCCGGCCUGAGAGGGUGACCGGCCACACUGGGACUGAGAUACGGCCCAGACUCCUACGGGAGGCAGCAGUGGGGAAUAUUGCACAAUGGGCGCAAGCCUGAUGCAGCGACGCCGCGUGAGGGAUGACGGCCUUCGGGUUGUAAACCUCUUUCAGCACAGACGAAGCGCAAGUGACGGUAUGUGCAGAAGAAGGACCGGCCAACUACGUGCCAGCAGCCGCGGUAAUACGUAGGGUCCGAGCGUUGUCCGGAAUUACUGGGCGUAAAGAGCUCGUAGGUGGUUUGUCGCGUUGUUCGUGAAAACUCACAGCUUAACUGUGGGCGUGCGGGCGAUACGGGCAGACUUGAGUACUGCAGGGGAGACUGGGAUUCCUGGUGUAGCGGUGGAAUGCGCAGAUAUCAGGAGGAACACCGGUGGCGAAGGCGGGUCUCUGGGCAGUAACUGACGCUGAGGAGCGGAAGCGUGGGGAGCGAACAGGAUUAGAUACCCUGGUAGUCC